rnacentral:rRNA from 1 species
GACAGAGGCCUCAAGCGUUAGGCGGAAUCACUGGGCUUAAAGCGUGUGUAGGCGGAUCGUUAAGUGCCUUGUGAAAUCCCACGGCUUAACUGUGGAACGGCUGGGCAUACUGGCGGUCUUGAGCCAUCUAGGGGCGACUGGAACAAACGGUGGAGCGGUGAAAUGCGUAGAUAUCGAGAGGAACACCUGCGGCGAAGGCGGGUUGCUGGGCUGAUACUGACGCUGAGGCGCGAAAGCCAGGGGAGCGAACGGG